AUGGUAGGAUAGAGGCCUACCAUGGUGGUAACGGGUAACGGGGUGUUAGGGCACGACACCGGAGAGGGAGCCUGAGAAACGGCUACCACAUCCAAGGAUGGCAGCAGGCGCGCAAAUUACCCAAUCCCGACACGGGGAGGUAGUGACAAUAAAUAACAAUACGGGGUUCUUUAGGAUCUCGUAAUUGGAAUGAGUACAAUUUAAAUCUCUUAACGAGGAACAAUUGGAGGGCAAGUCUGGUGCCAGCAGCCGCGGUAAUUCCAGCUCCAAUAGCGUAUAUAAAAGUUGUUGCAGUUAAAAAGCUCGUAGUUGAAUUUCGGGGUCAGUAGGUCGGUCGUGCCACUGGUAUGAACUGGUUUUACUGAUUCCUCCCUCUUGAAGAACUGUAAUGCCAUUAAUUUGGUGUUGCAGGGAAUCAGGACUGUUACUUUGAAAAAAUUAGAGUGUUUAAAGCAGGCUUUAGCUUGAAUACAUUAGCAUGGAAUAAUGAAAUAGGACGUUUGAUCCUAUUUUGUUGGUUUCUAGGAUUGACGUAAUGAUUAAUAGGGAUAGUUGGGGGCAUUAGUAUUCAAUUGUCAGAGGUGAAAUUCUUGGAUUUAUUGAAGACUAACUACUGCGAAAGCAUUUGCCAAGGAUGUUUUCAUUAAUCAAGAACGAAAGUUAGGGGAUCGAAGACGAUCAGAUACCGUCGUAGUCUUAACCAUAAACUAUGCCGACUAGGGAUCGGAUGAUGUUAAUUUUUUAAUGACUCAUUCGGCGCCUUACGGGAAACCAAAGUGUUUGGG
rnacentral:rRNA from 1 species